rnacentral:rRNA from 1 species
GGGGAGGCCUUAUACAGGUGGUUUGCAUGGCUGUCGUCAGCUCGUGUCGUGAGAUGUUCGGUUAAGUCCGCUAACGAGCGCAACCCUCGUCGUAUGUUAUAUGUGUCAUACGAGACUGCCGGUAAAAAGCCGGAGGAAGGUGAGGAUGAUGUCAAGUCAGCAUGACCUUUAUAUCCAGGGCUACACACACGCUACAAUGGUCUGUACAAUGGGUAGCCAAGCCGCGAGGCGGAGCCAAUCCUGAAAGCAGGCCUCAGUUCAGAUUGCAGUCUGCAACUCGACUGCAUGAAGCCGGAGUUGCUAGUAACCGCAGGUCAGCAAUACUGCGGUGAAUACGUUCCCGGGUCUU